UUGAUCUUGAUAAUCCAAACGUGGAUAACUGUGGUAAUUCUAGAGCUAAUACAUGCACCAAAGCUCCGACUUUGUGGACGAGCGCAUCUAUUAGGUUAAAACCAAUCGGGCUUUGCCCGUCAAUUGGUGACUCUGAAUAGCUAUGGCUGAUCGCAUGGUCUUGUACCGGCGACGUGUCUAUCAAGUGUCUGCCUUAUCAACUUUCGAUGGUAGUUUAUGUGCCUACCAUGGUUGUAACGGGUAACGGAGAAUAAGGGUUCGACUCCGGAGAGGGAGCCUGAGAAACGGCUACCACAUCCAAGGAAGGCAGCAGGCGCGCAAAUUACCCACUCUCGGCAAGAGGAGGUAGUGACGAAAAAUAACGAGACCGUUCUCUUCGAGGCCGGUUAUCGGAAUGGGUACAAUUUAAACCCGUUAACGAGAAUCUAUGAGAGGGCAAGUCUGGUGCCAGCAGCCGCGGUAAUUCCAGCUCUCAAAGUGUAUAUCGUCAUUGCUGCGGUUAAAAAGCUCGUAGUUGGAUCUGCGCCUCAGGACCUGGUCCGUCCUUUGGACGAGAACUGGGCUCCUAGGCUAGUUGUGUCGGUUUUCCCUGUGUUGCCUUCACCGGUCGCGCAGGGUGGCCGGCGAGUUUACCUUGAAAAAAUUAGAGUGCUCAAUGCGGGCUGACGCCUGAAUACUCGUGCAUGGAAUAAUGAAAUAGGAUCUCGGUUCUAUUUUGUUGGUUUUCUGAUCUGAGAUAAUGGUUAAGAGGGACGGACGGGGGCAUUCGUAUCGCUGCGUGAGAGGUGAAAUUCUUGGACCGUAGCGAGACGCCCGACUGCGAAAGCAUUUGCCAAGAAUGUCUUCAUUAAUCAAGA
rnacentral:rRNA from 1 species